CUUGGUGCUUGCACCGAGCGGAUGAGUUGCGAACGGGUGAGUAACGCGUAGGUAACCUGCCUCUUAGCGGGGGAUAACUAUUGGAAACGAUAGCUAAUACCGCAUAAAAGUCGACAUUGCAUGAUGUUGAUUUGAAAGGUGCAAUUGCAUCACUAAGAGAUGGACCUGCGUUGUAUUAGCUAGUUGGUGAGGUAACGGCUCACCAAGGCGACGAUACAUAGCCGACCUGAGAGGGUGAUCGGCCACACUGGGACUGAGACACGGCCCAGACUCCUACGGGAGGCAGCAGUAGGGAAUCUUCGGCAAUGGGGGCAACCCUGACCGAGCAACGCCGCGUGAGUGAAGAAGGUUUUCGGAUCGUAAAGCUCUGUUGUAAGAGAAGAACGAGUGUGAGAGUGGAAAGUUCACACUGUGACGGUAACUUACCAGAAAGGGACGGCUAACUACGUGCCAGCAGCCGCGGUAAUACGUAGGUCCCGAGCGUUAUCCGGAUUUAUUGGGCGUAAAGCGAGCGCAGGCGGUUAGAUAAGUCUGAAGUUAAAGGCUGUGGCUUAACCAUAGUACGCUUUGGAAACUGUUUAACUUGAGUGCAGAAGGGGAGAGUGGAAUUCCAUGUGUAGCGGUGAAAUGCGUAGAUAUAUGGAGGAACACCGGUGGCGAAAGCGGCUCUCUGGUCUGUAACUGACGCUGAGGCUCGAAAGCG
rnacentral:rRNA from 1 species